UACAGAGGGUGCGAGCGUUAAUCGGAAUUACUGGGCGUAAAGCGUGCGUAGACGGCUAUCUAAGUCGGGUGUGAAAGCCCCGGGCUCAACCUGGGAAUUGCAUUCGAGACUGAAUAGCUAGGGUACGGUAGAGGGAAGCGGAAUUUCCGGUGUAGCGGUGAAAUGCGUAGAUAUCGGAAGGAACAUCAGUGGCGAAAGCGGACUUCCUGG
rnacentral:rRNA from 1 species